GAUACUUCUCUCCAAAAUCCACCCUUUAAAAGAAGUUCACUUGUUGAUUGAUUCACUACUCUAAAUUUCUUUGAUAACCUCUUCCCCCUCCCCCUCAAAAAGUUCAUUGGCUUGCAUCAUGAAAUUCAAAUAUAUGAUUCAAUAUCUACUAGCAUUGGAAUUUUUACUGUUACUCACUUUAAAUCCACUCCAUUUCAUGGCCCGAGGAAGACAAAUAUCGAAACAGUCUGAUUUCGCAAUAAGAAUUAAUGAAGAAAAGGUGAUGAAAAUGGGAGUGAUAGGAUCAAAGCCUCCAAGAUGUGAUAAUAAAAAAUGCAAGUCUUGUGGAAAUUGCGAGGCAGUUCAGGUUCCAAUUGUGACCCCAAACAAAAUCAUCUUCCAUAAAAAACUAUAUUUUCCAGGAAUUAAUAUUAUUGCCUAUUCGAGGGGAGAUUAUAUUUCAAAUUAUAAGCCAAUGUGUUGGAAAUGUAAGUGUGGAGAUUUAUAUUUCAACCCAAGUGGGGUAUAAGAAUCUCAAUAUAGUACUAGUAUUUAAUAUCUGUAAUUUAUCUACCAUCAUAUAUGUAAUA